UCGGGAAUUUUGGGCAAUGGGCGAAAGCCUGACCCAGCAACGCCGCGUGAGGGAUGAAGUAUUUCGGUAUGUAAACCUCGAAAGAAUGGGAAGAAUAAAUGACGGUACCAUUUAUAAGCUCCGGCUAACUACGUGCCAGCAGCCGCGGUAAUACGCAGGGAGCAAGCGUUGUUCGGAUUUACUGGGCGUAAAGGGCGCGUAGGCGGCGCGGUAAGUCACUUGUGAAAUCUCUGAGCUUAACUCAGAACGGCCAAGUGAUACUGCUGUGCUAGAGUGCGGAAGAGGCAACCGGAAUUCUUGGUGUAGCGGUGAAAUGCGUAGAUAUCAAGAGGAACACCUGAGGCGAAGGCGGGUUGCUGGGCCGACACUGACGCUGAUGCGCGAAAGCCAGGGGAGCAAACG
rnacentral:rRNA from 1 species